rnacentral:rRNA from 1 species
GGAUUGGAGUCUGCAACCCGACUCCAUGAAGCUGGAUUCGCUAGUAAUCGCGCAUCAGCCACGGCGCGGUGAAUACGUUCCCGGGCCUUGUACACACCGCCCGUCAAGCCAUGGAAGCCGGGAGUGCCUGAAGUACGCGACCGCAAGGAGCGUCCUAAGGUAAAACCGGUGACUGGGGCUAAGUCGUAACAAGGUACC